rnacentral:rRNA from 1 species
GACGAACGCUGGCGGCGUGCUUAACACAUGCAAGUCGAACGGAAAGGCCCCUUCGGGGGGGCUCGAGGGGCGGACAGGCGAGUAAAACGUGAGUAAACUGCCCCUGAGUUCGGGAUAACUUCCGGAAACAGGGGCGAAUAACGGAGAGGAAACCUUUCCGCAUGGGGGGGGGGGGAAAGCUUCCGGGGGUUUGGAUGGACUCGCGGCUUAUCAGCUUGUUGGUGGGGGAGUGGGUUACCAAGGCUUUGACGGGUAGCCGGCCUGAGAGGGCGACCGGCCACAUUGGGACUGAGAUACGGCCCCGACUCCUACGGGAGGCAGCAGUGGGGAAUAUUGCACAAUGGGCGGAAGCCUGAUGCAGCAACGCCGCGUGCGGGAUGACGGCCUUCGGGUUGUAAACCGCUUUCAGCAGGGGCGAAGCUUGUGGUGACGGUACCUGCAGAAGAAGCACCGGCUAACUACGUG